rnacentral:tRNA from 1 species
UAAAUAAUAGUUUAAAAGGAAAAUAUUAUAUUUUGAGUGUAGAGUUAGCUUAAUAGGCUUUAUUUAA